rnacentral:rRNA from 1 species
AUUGACGCUGGCGGCAGGCUUAACACAUGCAAGUCGAGCGGAGAUGAGGUGCUUGCACCUUAUCUUAGCGGCGGACGGGUGAGUAAUGCUUAGGAAUCUGCCUAUUAGUGGGGGACAACAUUCCGAAAGGAAUGCUAAUACCGCAUACGCUCUACGGGGGAAAGCAGGGGAUCUUCGGACGUUGCGCUAAUAGAUGAGCCUAAGUCGGAUUAGCUAGUUGGGGGGGUAAAGGCCUACCAAGGCGACGAUCUGUAGCGGGUCUGAGAGGAUGAUCCGCCACACUGGGACCGAGACACGGCCCAGUCUCCUACGGGAGGCAGCAGUGGGGAAUAUUGGACAAUGGGCGGAAGCCUGAUCCAGCUAUGCCGCGUGUGUGUAGAAGGCCUUUUGGUUGUAAAGCACUUUAAGCGAGGAGGAGGCUACCUGGAUUAAUACUCUAGGAUAGUGGGCGUUACUCGCAGAAUAAGCACCGGCUAACUCUGUGCCAGCCGCCGCGGUAACAC